rnacentral:sRNA from 1 species
CAGCACAGGCCAUCGGUCGCCAUUCAGCGC